rnacentral:rRNA from 1 species
CCCCUAGAUGUUCUGGGCCGCACGCGCGCUACACUGAACAGUUCAACAAGUCUUAACCUUGGCCGAUAGGUCUGGGUAAUCUUUGAACGCUGUUCGUGAUUGGGAUAGACCUUUGCAAUUAUGGGUCUUCAACGAGGAAUUCCUAGUAAACGCGAGUCAUCAGCUCGCAUUGAUUACGUCCCUGCCCUUUGUACACACCGCCCGUCGCACCUACCGAUUGAAUGGUCCGGUGAAGCCUCCGGAUUGGACGUGCUGACCCUGUCAGCCGGCCGAGAAGUUGGCUAAAUCUUACCAUUUAGAGGAAGGUGAAGUCGUAACA